rnacentral:rRNA from 1 species
UACGGGGGGGGCAAGCGUUGUUCGGAAUUAUUGGGCGUAAAGCGCGCGCAGGCGGUCCUUUAAGUCUGAUGUGAAAGCCCACGGCUCAACCGUGGAGGGUCAUUGGAAACUGGGGGACUUGAGUACAGAAGAGAAGAGUGGAAUUCCACGUGUAGCGGUGAAAUGCGUAGAGAUGUGGAGGAACACCAGUGGCGAAGGCGACUCUUUGGUCUGUAACUGACGCUGAGGCGCGAAAGCGUGGGGAGCAAACAGG